UGGCUCAAUAGUUAAGCUGUUGGCUGCUAACCAAAAGGUUGUUGGUUCAAAUCCACC
rnacentral:tRNA from 1 species